UGCACCAACCGGGAGUUGAACCCGGGUCUGUACCGUGGGAGGGUGCGAUGACCCCGCUACAACAUUGGUAC
rnacentral:tRNA from 1 species